GAAUCAGUGUCCUUCAUCUUGCGUGCCAUCAGAUUCAGAAACUCCGGGAAAUCAAUCGUCCCAUUCUGAUCAGCAUCAACCUCAUUGAUCAUGUCCUGCAGUUCAGCUUCGGUCGGAUUCUGGCCGAGGGAUCUCAUCACAGUACCCAGCUCCUUAGUGGUGAUGCAACCGUCGCCAUCCUUGUCGAAGAGGCUGAACGCCUCCUUGAACUCCGCGAUCUGGUCCUCGGUGAGUUGAUCCGCCAUUUCGAGAAGACGAUGGGAUCAGCGGCGGUGAGUAUUCGGCCCCUUCGUCUCAGAGUAUUCGGCCCCUUCGUCUCCG
rnacentral:misc_RNA from 1 species